rnacentral:rRNA from 1 species
GGCUCUUUGAAAAGAAUUAAUAAAGAGUCAGACCUGCCCAGUGACAUGUGGUUUAACGGCCGCGGUACUUUGACCGUGCAAAGGUAGCAUAAUCAAUUGUCUUAUAAUUAAAGACUGGUAUGAAAGGUUUAACGAGAAUUCAACUGGCUCCUAUUAGCUAAAAUGAACUUGACUUUUAAGUGCAAAGGCUUAAAUAAUAUUGAAAGACAAGAAGACCCUAUUGAGCUUAAAAUUUUUUAAUAGUGCGGGUAUUAUAGGUGCCUAAAUUAUGAUCUAUUAAUCUUUUUUAGUUGGGGCGACUCUGGAACAAUUAAAGCUUCCUAGAUGUAAUAUGACUUAAUCCUAUUUGACGUGAUCCAGGAUAGUUCUGAUUACUAGAAGAAGUUACCAUAGGGAUAACAGCAUAAUCCUCUUUGAGAGUUCUAAUCGAAAAGAGGGUUUGUGACCUCGAUGUUGGACUAGAAUAUCCUAAGGGUGCAGAAGUUCUUGAGGGUUGGUCUGUUCGACCAUUAAAAUUCU